UACAGAGGUGGCAAGCGUUGUUCGGAAUUACUGGGCGUAAAGGGCGCGUAGGUGGCCAUCUAAGUCAGACGUGAAAUCCCCCGGCUUAACCUGGGAACUGCGUCUGAUACUGGAAGGCUUGAGUAUGGGAGAGGGAUGUAGAAUUCCUGGUGUAGCGGUGAAAUGCGCAGAUAUCAGGAGGAACACCGGUGGCGAAGGCGGAUCUCUGGGCCAUUACUGACGCUGAGGAGCGAAAGCGUGGGGAGCGAACAGG
rnacentral:rRNA from 1 species